GACGGGUGAGUAAUGUCUGGGAAACUGCCUGAUGGAGGGGGAUAACUACUGGAAACGGUAGCUAAUACCGCAUAACGUCGCAAGACCAAAGAGGGGGACCUUCGGGCCUCUUGCCAUCAGAUGUGCCCAGAUGGGAUUAGCUAGUAGGUGGGGUAACGGCUCACCUAGGCGACGAUCCCUAGCUGGUCUGAGAGGAUGAUCAGCCACACUGGGACUGAGACACGGCCCAGACUCCUACGGGAGGCAGCAUG
rnacentral:rRNA from 1 species